rnacentral:rRNA from 1 species
UACGUAGGUGGCGAGCGUUGUCCGGAUUUACUGGGCGUAAAGGGAGCGUAGGCGGACUUUUAAGUGAGAUGUGAAAUACUCGGGCUCAACUUGAGUGCUGCAUUUUAAACUGGAAGUCUAGAGUGCAGGAGAGGAGAAUGGAAUUCCUAGUGUAGCGGUGAAAUGCGUAGAGAUUAGGAAGAACACCAGUGGCGAAGGCGAUUCUCUGGACUGUAACUGACGCUGAGGCUCGAAAGCGUGGGGGAGCAAACAGG